rnacentral:ncRNA from 2 species
UGGAGAAGAAACAGGACUGAUCCGCUGACUGCGGAACAAGGAAACCGGUGAGAAUCCGGUACAGGCUUGCCCCUACUGUCAGCAGGGACGAAGGACGAAAGAACCAUUGCCUGAAAAGGUGAGAAGGAUGUCUGGAGGAUGAACUGCGAGUCAGGAUACUUGAUAAUAUAGCUUUAUCUUG